rnacentral:misc_RNA from 1 species
GAUGAAGAACGUAGCGAAAUGCGAUAAGUAAUGUGAAUUGCAGAAUUCAGUGAAUCAUCGAAUCUUUGAACGCACAUUGCGCCCGCCAGUAUUCUGGCGGGCAUGCCUGUCUGAGCGUCAUUUCAACCCUCAUGCCCCUAGGGCGUGGUGUUGGGGAUCGGCCAAAGCCCGCGAGGGACGGCCGGCCCCUAAAUCUAGUGGCGGACCCGCCGUGGCCUCCUCUGCGAAGUAGUGAUAUUCCGCAUCGGAGAGCGACGAGCCCCUGCCGUUAAACCCCCAACUUUCCAAGGUUGACCUCAGAUCAGGUAGGAAUACCCGCUGAACUUAAGCAUAUCAAUAAGCGGAGGA